UACAUAAGGAGCAAGCGUUGUCCGGAAUCAUUGGGCGUAAAGAGCUCGUAGGCGGUAUCGAAAGUCAGCUGUGAAAUCACCAGGCUCAACCUGGUAGGGUCAGCUGAAACUUCGGUACUUGAGGGUAGAAGAGGAAAGCGGAAUUCCCGGUGUAGCGGUGAAAUGCGUAGAUAUCGGGAGGAAUACUAGUGGCGAAGGCGGCCUUCUGGACUGACACUGACGCUGAGGUGCGAAAGCGUGGGUAGCAAACGGGAUUAGAUACCCUGGUA
rnacentral:rRNA from 1 species